AUUUACUCUCUUCCUAGAACUUGAAUCCCUCUCUCCAUCUCUCUCAGUCUCUCUCCUUCCAUCUUCCCUCUUCCAUUCAUGGGGGUCCCCUCUCCGGUUUCUCGUGUUCUGACGGAAACAACCAGCAAACGAAAACCCAUCCCAAUUCCCUCGUCACUCUCGUAUCUCUCAUUCACACAUCGCCCUCUUCCCAAGACCCAACUCAAAACCCUAAUGCGAGAGCAGACGACGUCACGACGGACAAUCACCACGACUCCUUGAUGAUGGAGUGACAGACACAACCAGCAUCCUCUUCUCCUUCUCUCACGGUGGUAGGUAAAUUUCUUUUUAAUCUAUUUUUUCUCGAUUUCUAGGGUUUUUGCGAGAUUCUUGCGAUUGUUUUUGAAUCGAAUUUGACUUACUUUUAGAUCUAAGGUUUAGGAUUUGAUCUUCUCUUUGUUGUCGAAAUUGUACCUGGCUACCUGCGCAAUCAUUUGACCUCCCCCUGCGUUUUCUCAGAAGAUGCUAGAGGUAACUACGUAUCUAUGAAGUUUCUCCUCACAUGUCAAACCCCAGCUCUGCUCUUUUAGCGAUUUCUUGUUAUUUUUAGUGUUUGAUCAGUUUAGAUACGAAUUCUAAGCAAAGUACAUUCAGUGAAAUGUGAAUUUGAGUGAAUUAUUGUCUGUAAUGUAAAUUACCUGGAUGUAUUCUUCUGUAUUCUGGUGCCUGUCAAAAUUUUCUAUUAUUGUCUACUUUGAAGAAAUUACAAUGUGAUCGUCUUUCUGUAUUAUUGUAGAAAAGCUUUGACGAUUUCUCUAUUAGUGUCGUUAUAUCGUAUCGAAACCACAGUGAAAUUAUAAAGUCAUUAGGUUUUAUGUAUUUCUUGUGCUGUAAGUUUUUCUACUUCAUUUACAUGAUAAAUUGUCCUACGUGCCAUUCCAACAAUUUGAUUUCCUUUUGACUUGUAUGAUGAUCAAUUCAAUGAUAUCGUCCGACUCAUCCCCUCUUUUGUUUAAUUUAGUUGAUCUAGGUUUGUAAACAGAAGAUCAGCUAUAAGGUAAUGCAUGUAUUUGUUUAAAACUGAUAUGUCCUGUCUAUAGACGAUGUAACUCAAUUUUUGAAAUUUUAUUUCUUGUUCAGAUGGCAUAUGAGUUGCAUAGCAUGUUAACUGAUGUUGUUAGCUUGAUGACAUGGGAGAAGGUAUGCCAGUAUAUGGAGGAGGGAACGACAACGACUCAUUUCUUACCAAAGUUGUCAGCCCACUUUACCGGGUUAUAUCUGAGGUCGCCUGACUGUUUUUCAAUAGGUUGGCCAAUGCGUGUUGAUGACCAUGAUUUCUUCUUUGUGGAAAAAAAAAAUAUCAAGGUGAUCAACCAGAGAUGAACAUCUUUGUUCGUCUAAACAAAUUAAGAGGAAAGAGGGUGGUGAAGGAUGAGGAACAUGGGAUUUUUCUUCUUACUCUAUCAUCCUCCAUUCUAUGUUGAUUGCAUCUACAAAGAUUUCAGUGAAGCUGUCGGUGUUGACAUUCGGGCAUAUGAGGAAACUCAACUGACGGCUGAUGCAGAGACAUUCGAGAAAAAGGUUACCUUGCGUAACCAAAUAUCAAAGCUG